ensembl:lncRNA novel transcript
AGACAGACUAUGAAGAGAUACAUAGGGUGAGAAACGGAGGCCUUCAGCCAACAGCUGGGAGAAGCUGAGUCCCAUCAGCCAUUCAAAAGACUGCAGCCCCAGCCAAGAGUUUGAUGUAACCUCAGGAGAGACCCUGAGCCAGAACCACCUAGGCCAACGAGCUAUACCUAGUGAUUCCAAAGUCCACAUAUAUUUACUCUGUUCUCACUGUACAAAGUAACCACUCUGAAGUCAAAAAAGCUGGGAUACAUGAAGACUGCCAUCCCUUGAGUCACUUGCCCUGUAGCUGCCACUGUUGGAAAAGGGCUUGCUUCUGUGUCCUUGUGCCCACUUUGAAAAUCCCUGGGAAGUCCUUGGAGUCAGAUGAGCAGGCCUCCGCCACUCUGCCAAAAAGUCUGUUCAGUGAGUUUAGAAUCAUAUAGAAAAGACAUGGAUGUGGGGGAUCCUGUGCCAUGUAUUUGAAACAGUAGCUGCCAUAUAAUAUGCUUUCGGUAUAUGAAUGAAUUCAAAAGGAUAUUAUCAUGCUCAUACCUUCUAGAUCAGGAGUCCCCAACCCCUGAGCCAUGGACUGAUAUGGAGCUAUGGUCUGUUAGGAACUGGGCUGCCCAGGAGGAGCAAUGGUGCUUCUACAAUUUCCUUAUAGGAGGAGUGAAGAGUAAGCAUUUGGAUUGGACCAGGAUUUGGAGAACUUGUCAUGUUGCUCUACGUGCAUAUGAAAUACAUCAUUGUAACUUAGAAUGUGAAUUACAGAACAAACAUGAAAGUUAGAAAAAUAUUCUAAA